rnacentral:rRNA from 1 species
GAUUUCUGGCGAACUUGAUUUCAGGCCGGCCACGGUUUCGUGUGUUAGUGCUUGAAAUCUUCGCCAUCCUUCCAAUGGCUAUUCAUCCUUCUUCAUUGAGGUGGUGAGUGGUAUUGGAUCUUUUACUUUGAAAAAAUUAGAGUGUUUCAAGCAGGCUUUAUGCUAUGAAUACAUUAGCAUGGAAUAAUAAUUUAGGACUUCGGUUCUAUUUUGUUGGUUUCUAGGACUGAAGUAAUGAUUGAUAGGGAUAGUUGGGGGUGCUAGUAUUCAGCGGCCAGAGGUGAAAUUCUCGGAUUCGCUGAAGACUAACUUAUGCGAAAGCAUU